UACGUAGGGUGCGAGCGUUGUCCGGAAUUAUUGGGCGUAAAGGGCUCGUAGGCGGUUUGUCGCGUCGGGAGUGAAAACGCCGGGCUUAACUCGGUGCUUGCUUUCGAUACGGGCAGACUGGAGGUAUGCAGGGGAGAACGUAAUUCCUGGUGUAGCGGUGAAAUGCGCAGAUAUCAGGAGGAACACCGGUGGCGAAGGCGGUUCUCUGGGCAUGUCCUGACGCUGAGGAGCGAAAGUGUGGGGAGCGAACAGG
rnacentral:rRNA from 1 species